rnacentral:rRNA from 1 species
UACGGAGGGUGCAAGCGUUAUCCGGAUUCACUGGGUUUAAAGGGUGUGUAGGCGGGCUGUUAAGUCAGUGGUGAAAUCUCCGGGCUCAACCCGGAAACUGCCAUUGAUACUAUCAGUCUUGAAUACCGUUGAGGUGGGCGGAAUAUGUCAUGUAGCGGUGAAAUGCAUAGAUAUGACAUAGAACACCGAUUGCGAAGGCAGCUCACUAAACGGUCAUUGACGCUGAGGCACGAAAGCGUGGGGAUCAAACAGG